AAGAAAACGAACUAUUUUCACAAUGAUUGGGAGAAAAUGAGAGAAACCUUUCAGCACCGUCAGACGCUUGUUAAUGACCCAAGCAGAGGUGUUGAUAUCCUCUCCACCUUCCCAAGAUUCCUGGAUACCAAAGGAUUGGUGGAUCAAGACUUCACCCUCCUAUUUGAUCAUGAAACAUCCUCCAGGCUCCUUCAGAAAUGGGAUUCUUCAGUCCAAAUGUCAUAAAAGAGGCUAAGCGGCUUACUUCAACACCCAGAGUUGCGUCGCUUGUUACAGAGAGUCCCACAGGAAGUGAUCUUGAUGAGACAACAAUCAUGCUGCAGUUUGGAGGAGCAUCUCCGCAACCAGCAGGGUCGGCAGCCAUACCUCCUCGCUGUUGGGCUUCAGAAGAGCAAGAUUGACAGCUUCUACAUCACCAUGGAUAAGCAUCUCAUCCCACGCCAGGCAAACCGCUCCCUACCUUGGGGCUUUCGACAAACUUUCCAAAACCCAUUUUGUGUUUAAUUUGUCGUACGAUGCUGCGUUACUGAAUUUUUACACAUUCUUGCAGACAACAGUGUAUAACAGUGAUGUGGGGAAAAUGAAGGAGUCACCCAGAGUCAGAGACUUGAGAGCCAGACUGCUUGACCAGCUAGUACCGGUCUCACUCUCUGAGUAAGAGGCUGAAACAAUACUGACCGGUUUCAUGUGUCAGAAUUUGUAUCCCAGCAGCCAGAAGUUGAUGGUGUUAUACUGGAACCGUUGAUAAUUUAUAUAAAAUUACUGAAAACCCAAGGCCUUAGUCUUAGUAGUGUUUGAUUGAGAGGAAUGAUUCUCAAACAGUAUACAGUGAGGAAGAUCCCAAAGUGAUCCUUCGUGGAAGAAAUAUGUUUGAUAUGCAUUACAAAUGUCUCCAAGACAACCCACCAUUGAACUCCUUGUAUGGUUUGAAAGAGACUUCUACACUUAACUCAUUGAAUUAUUUCCAUGUUUGAAAUAAUUACUCAUUUGAUAUAAUGCAUGACCUUCUUGAGGGUGUGACUCAGUGUGAGAUCAAAUUGCUUUUUAAAUAUCUCACAAAAGACUUAAUAUCACAACUGAACUUGCUUUCCAGGAUUUAUGGUGUUGAUUACGGAUUUUUAGAACGAAAGAAACGUCCCACAAAGAUAAUUUUGGACAGUGCUGGUAAUGGCAUUGGUUUGAAUUCUAUUCAGACAUUGUGUCUUGUGAAAAACAUCCCACUGUUUGGUGACAUCAUUCCUGCAGGAAACGAAAACUGCAAUGUGUUACUGUUGUUACUUAAAAUAAUGAACAUGGUUGUGUCACUUUUUCUGACUCUAGGUACGACAAUAUAUUUAAAGCAUUUGAUUGUUGACCACCACAAACUAUUUAAGCACUUGUAUCCACAUAGAAACUUGCUACCGAAGCUAUUGGCUAUUGCUUAUCACUGGGAAACCUUCACCCUCAAAUAAAAAGAGUAUGGACCAAUUAAGACUUAUUCCCUCAGAGAUGUGAAUGUGGUCAACAAUGAAAUGCUUGAAAUGAUUUUGUCAAAAGAUGUUUUCUCAACUAGGUUAAAGUUGAUGGUGUGUAGAAUAUACAUCUGGACUUGUUUGUCUUUUGUCAAAUAUGUGAUGUACUUUUGGUUGAAGUUAACACAUUUUGUUUAUUAACAAGCUAUUCACCGAGAAUUCUUUUGAUGACCUUAAUCAUGCAUUUCUAGUGUUACAAAGUGAGGAAAGGUUCAUAAUAAAAAUGUCUGAGCUUAAAUUCCAAUAAGCCAUUUGAUAUUCAAAGCUCAUACAAUGUUUCAGAUGAAAGUUUGUACAUUGGCUUUGUUUAUUGGAAUUAAUGAAUAUAUUAUUUAAUAACAUAGUAAUUAGUGUUACUUUAACUCUGUUUUGUGAGUUAAAGAAGGAACUCUGGCACAGUGUUUUAACUAUUAUGAAAGGGUUCAUUUAACUCUGAAAAGUGUUGAAAUCAACUCUGGGAGUUAAUUCAACACUGGACUUUUUGCAAGGUCCAGGGUGUAAUAUAUAUGAAAUAUAUAUGAAAUGUUUUAUAGGUCUUAAUUACCAGCAAACUUUAGUCACGUUUAGAGAAUACAUUUAAAAACUAGCUUUAGUGGCAUUAUAAAGUAUUUUAAAGCAUUUAGCAGCGAUAUUACAGGGAA